GAUGAACGCUGGCGGCGUGCUUAACACAUGCAAGUCGAACGGAAAGGCUCCUGCUUGCAGGGGUACUCGAGUGGCGAACGGGUGAGUAACACGUGGGUGAUCUGCCCUGCACUUCGGGAUAAGCCUGGGAAACUGGGUCUAAUACCGGAUAGGACGAUGGUUUGGAUGCCAUUGUGGAAAGUUUUUCGGUGUGGGAUGAGCUCGCGGCCUAUCAGCUUGUUGGUGGGGUAAUGGCCUACCAAGGCGUCGACGGGUAGCCGGCCUGAGAGGGUGUACGGCCACAUUGCGACUGAGAUACGGCCCAGACUGCUACGGGAGGCAGCAGUGGGGAAUAUGGUACAGUGGGGGCACGCGUGAUGAGGCGACGCCGCGUGGGGGAUGCCGGCCUUGGGGUGGUAAACGCCUGUCGCUAGGGACGAAGCGGGAGUGACGGUACCUGGAGAAGAAGCACCGGCUAACUACGUG
rnacentral:rRNA from 1 species